GACGAACGCUGGCGGCGUGCCUAAUACAUGCAAGUCGAACGCAGUGGGGACGGGGUAGUAACACGUGGGUGACCUCCCAUCAGAGGGGAUAAAACUUGGAAACAGGUGCUAAACCGAUACUGAUGGAUGUACCCGGGGGGGAUUAGCUAGUUGGUGAGGUAACGGCGCACCAAGGCCACGAUGCAUAGCCGGCCUGAGAGGAUGACCAGCCACACUGGGACUGAGACACGGCCCAGACUCCUACGGGAGGCAGCAGUGGGGAAUCUUCGGCAAUGGGCGAAAGUCUGAACGAGCAACGCCGCGUGUAUGAAGAAGGUUUUCGGAUCGUAAAGCACUGUUGUUAGAGAAGCGUUAUCUAACCAAGAAGCCACGGCUAACUACGUGCCAGCAGCCGCGGUAAUUC
rnacentral:rRNA from 1 species